rnacentral:rRNA from 1 species
CACGCCGCACUGUCUGCCGAUUGGUAAGUACGGUUUGGCGGGUGCUUCCUUCCGGUGCUGCGUUCUGCUCUUAAUUGAGCGGUUCGUUGGUUCCGGUUCUUUUACUUUGAGAAAAUUAGAGUGUUCAAAGCAGGCCUAUGCUCUGAAUAGGUUAUCUUGGAAUAAUAGAAUAGGACUUUGGUUCUAUUUUGUUGGUUUCUAGGACCGAAGUAAUGAUUAAUAGGGACAGUUGGGGGCAUUCAUAUUCCAUUGUCAGAGGUGAAAUUCUUGUAUUAACGGAAGAUGAACUUUCUGCGAAAGCAUCUGUCAAGGAUGUUUUCAUUGAUCAAGAACUAA